rnacentral:rRNA from 1 species
UACAGAGGUGGCAAGCGUUGUUCGGAAUUACUGGGCGUAAAGGGCGCGUAGGCGGUCAGGUCAGUCCCGUGUGAAAUCCCUCGGCUCAACUGAGGAACUGCACGGGAAACUGCCUGGCUCGAGUUCGGGAGAGGGAAGCGGAAUUCCGGGUGUAGCGGUGAAAUGCGUAGAUAUCCGGAGGAACACCGGUGGCGAAGGCGGCUUCCUGGACCGACACUGACGCUGAGGCGCGAAAGCUAGGGGAGCAAACGGG